AUUGAACGCUGGCGGCAGGCCUAACACAUGCAAGUCGAGCGAGCGGCGGACGGGUGAGUAAUGUAUGGGGACUGCCCGAUAGAGGGGGAUAACUACUGGAAACGGUGGCUAAUACCGCAUACUAUCGGAUAACCCAUAUGGGAUUAGCUAGUAGGUGGGGUAAAGGCUCACCUAGGCGAAGAUCCCUAGCUGGUCUGAGAGGAUGCCCAGCCAAACUGGGAAUGAGACACGGCCCAUACUCCUACGGAGGCAGCAGUGGGGAAUAUUGGACAAUGGGCGCAAGCCUGAUGCAGCCAUGCCGCGUGUAUGAAGAAGGCCUUCGGGUUGUAAAGUACUUUCAGCGGGGAGGCGUUACCCGCAGAAGAAGCACCGGCUAACUCCGUGCCAGCAGCCGCGGUAAUAC
rnacentral:rRNA from 1 species